GAACGGUUAGUUUAACUAAAAACAUCUGAUUUCGGCUCAGAAAAUAGUGGUUAAAACCUGCUACAGCUCA
rnacentral:tRNA from 1 species